UCCUGGCACCUCUGAGAGAGUGAGAGAAAAGAAGCGAGAAACCCUUUUCAGAAAAAAACAUGCGUAGCAUCCCUCGUGAAGAAGAGUCUUGGGUUUCUACAAGAAACCUAGGAAAUGUUCAAGAAAAUGAUCAAACCCAUAACCUAGAUUUUCUUGAUGAUGAUAAUUACAAUAAUGAUGAUCUUUUGGGUCAAGAGACUGAGCAAGUGUGGCAAAACAUGAACCAAAACGACACCUUUACCAAAAACUCCAAUAUGGGUUCUCUUCGAAAGAUCCAGAGAAAGAAGAGUCAAGUGCUGUUAGAAGGGUAUGUGGAAGGAAGUAGUAACAGCGAAGAUGAGUUGAAGAGGACAAAGAGUUUGACAGAUGAUGAUCUUGAUGAGUUAAAAGGGUGCUUGGAUCUUGGGUUUGGUUUUAGUUAUGACGAGAUCCCUGAACUUUGCAAUACUUUGCCAGCUCUUGAACUUUGUUACUCAAUGAGUCAGAAGUUUCUUGACGAGCAUCAGAAGCCCCAUGAGAGUUCUUCUCCUGCUGAGGCCGAGGCCGAGGCUGCAAGUUCUAGUCCCAUUGCUAAUUGGAAGAUCUCUAGUCCUGGUGACCAUCCUGAAGAUGUUAAAGCAAGACUCAAAUUUUGGGCACAGACUGUGGCGUGCACUGUUAGAUUAUGCAGCUGAAGGGCAUUUUGAAAUCAAAAGGUUUAUCAGCUGAAGGUUCAUCUUUUUGGGAAGAUCGGAUGCUCAUUUUCCUUGGCAGUGGGCAAUCAAUUGCCCGGACCUACAUCUAGUGCUUGUGCCUCAAUGAUCCAUUCCAGUGCGCAACUAUUUGGAAGAAUUAAAGCUCCUGCAUUUUCCUUAGUUGGAAUGGACCGGCCAGAGCAUAUGCAAAGAUGGGCUGGCUUUAAAGUAAAUGAAGAGAAAUGUUUCAGUGGUGAGAGCCUCUCCCCUAGAGCCUUCACCAAAUACUUCCAGAUCUCUGCGAUUGCUGAGGUAACUAAUCUAACUGGGUUGAGUCUAUGGUUACCCUGGUUUCUGCUUUGUUGAUCCAUGAAUGGUUGCUGUAGUGUGCUAAUGCUGACAUCGCAUGCUUACCGCUGACAACUAACUUGUGUUCAUCCAUCACAUGGAUAGAUUAACUGCCCCAUAUUGGCUGGUGGUGGAGGCGGCAAGGAGGGAGGGGGGGAUAAGGAAGUGAAGAGGAACAAGCUUAAGCAUAUGCUGAACCCUAUUGCUAUGUGCUAACACAGUUUCUUAUGAUUAAAGCUCAAACAUGUUUGUGCUUGUACCAUUUCUUUCUUUUGCUGUAAAAAUUAAGCCUCAACUUGCAAACCAGAGGUUGAGGUUUCGAUACAUGUUAUAGAAUGCUAUGAUUUUUACCCACAAGGUACUUGUCUUUCUGUGCACUUGCAGUUAGGCAAGACAAUUUGUUUGAUAUCUUACAAUGAUUGGUUUAGGGUGA